AAGAUGAGUAAGAAGAAGUAGAGGAGAAGAGGAGGAGGAAGAAGAAGAGGUAAAAGAGGAGAAGAUGACACAGCAACAGCUUGAUGGUGGCAUGACGGUGGCUUUGUGGUGACAUGGAGGUAGAGGAUGCCAACAACGAUGGUUGUCGAAAUUAAAGAAGGAGGUAGAGGAUGAAGAGGUGAAAGAUGAGGAAAGACAAAGAUAAAAAUAGGAGGAGGAAGAAGAUGACCUAAAGGUGGCGGUGGUGCAUGACAAUCCAGAGACGACAGGGAGAAGAAGAGGAAGAGAAAAAAAGAAAGAAAAAAGAAGAGGAAAAGGAAGAGUAAGAAGCAAAUUUGAUUGCUUAUUUUACUAAUAGAUGUUACCAACACUGGUGCGAAAUAUGCCUUCAACGUCACGCAUUUAACUUCAGACUGCCAAACAACCAAAG
rnacentral:lncRNA from 1 species